CCCUUAGAUGUUCGGGGCCGCACGCGCGCUACACUGAAGGAAUCAGCACGUCUUUCUCCUUGUCCGAAAGGACUGGGUAACCCGCUGAACCUCCUUCGUGCUAGGGAUUGGGGCUUGUAAUUCUUCCCCAUGAACGAGGAAUUCCCAGUAAGCGCGAGUCAUAAGCUCGCGUUGAUUACGUCCCUGCCCUUUGUACACACCGCCCGUCGCUACUACCGAUUGGAUGGUUUAGUGAGAUCCUCGGAUUGGUCCCGGCGCGGCCUCUGGUCGUGCCGGAGUGCCGAAAAGAAUGUCGAACUUGAUCAUCUAGAGGAAGUAAAAGUCGUAACG
rnacentral:rRNA from 1 species